GGUUGUAUUUUAUUAGUAUGUGAAAUUGGAGGUUCCGGGAGAAAAAAGAGCUGGAAACGAGCUUAAUCGGUGAAUAAAAGGAAAUCCGGGAGCCAUGGGAGAAGUCUAAGGGCUAAAAGUCAAAAAUCAAGAAAAUAAGCCUUGUCGCGUCGCGCGACGAGCUUGAAAUGCACUGAAACGUGUUUUGGGCUUCGGGGUUGUUAUGAUAUAACCUAAAAAUGAAUUCAUAAAAUAAUAAUCUGCGUUGGGAUGAACUUAGAAGCUCCAUGAGGCGAAUUUAGAGCACAAGAAGCAUAAGGUUGAAGAUUUGAAGCAAAGGAUCGAGAUUGCUCGGGUUCUAUUAUUCGAUUUCCUUGUUUCUUCAUUUCUUUAAUUCAAACCAUGUUUAUCGAAUUUGUCUUGCAAGUUGUUUCUGUUUGGGCGAUGAUUAUCGGCUAAAUACUUUGUUACUACCUAGGUUUAACGAUGAAUAUUUGUUGAGAACUGAUUUUCUUUCGGUUUUUUGUAACAAAGUUGAUGGAUUAAUACUUUAGUAAUGUGUCUUGUUCAUGAAGUCAGAUGUUAUGCAUGCUUAUUACUGAUUUAAACUCUUCAUAGUUCUACAUGCAUUUUUGUGAUGGUAUGUCAUGUAUGAAUGCUUGUUACGUCACCCACUGUGUGUUUGCAAUUAGUUUACGGUUAAUUGCCGGAAAUUUCCGUAGGAACUAUGAUUGAGGUUUUAGAGGUUUUAAGUGUUUUGCCUAGUCCAAUAGUUGUGAGCUUUUAG
rnacentral:lncRNA from 1 species